rnacentral:rRNA from 1 species
AUUCCGGAUAGGCCACAGAUGCUGGAAUGCACUGUGGCUCAAAGCUCCGGCGCCGAAGGAUGGGUCUGCGGCCUAUCAGGGUUGUAGUGGGUGUAAUGUACCUACUAGCCUACGACGGGUACGGGUUGUGAGAGCAAGAGCCCGGAGAUGGAUUCUGAGACACGAAUCCAGGCCCUACGGGGUGCAGCAGGCGCGAAAACUUUACAAUGCGGGAAACCGUGAUAAGGGAAUCUCGAGUGCCAGCAUAUAAUGUUGGCUGUCCAGAUGCCUAAAAAGCAUCUGUUAGCAAGGGCCGGGCAAGACCGGUGCCAGCCGCCGCGGUAACACCGGCGGCCCGAGUGGUAACCGCUUUUAUUGGGUCUAAAGGGUCUGUAGCCGGCCAUGUAAGUCCCUUGGGAAAUCUGGCAGCUCAACUGUCAGGCUGCUAGGGGAUACUGCUUGGCUUGGGACCGGGAGAGGUGAGAGGUACCUUGAGGGUAGGGGUGAAAUCUUGUGAUCCUCGGGGGACCACCAGUGGCGAAGGCGUCUCACCAGAACGGGUCCGACGGUAAGGGACGAAAGCUAGGGGCACGAACCGGAUUAGAUACCCGGGUAGUCCUAGCCGUAAACGAUGCUCGCUAGGUGUCAGUCACGGUGCGACCGUGAUUGGUGCCGUAGGGAAGCCGUGAAGCGAGCCACCUGGGAAGUACGGCCGCAAGGCUGAAACUUAAAGGAAUUGGCGGGGGAGCACUACAACGGGUGGAGCCUGCGGUU